CAGCCGUAAACUAUGCUCGCUAGGUGUCAGGCAUGGCGCGACCGUGUCUGGUGCCGCAGGGAAGCCGUGAAGCGAGCCACCUGGGAAGUACGGCCGCAAGGCUGAAACUUAAGGAAUUGGCGGGGGAGCACAACAACGGGUGGAGCCUGCGGUUUAAUGGACUCAACGCCGGACAACUCACCGGGGACGACGGCAAUAUGUAGGCCAGGCUGAAGACCUUGCCUGAAUCGCUGAGAGGGGGUGCAUGGCGUAGACGUCU
rnacentral:rRNA from 1 species